GGGGCGAGCGGCUCCCCCCGCUCGCUGCCGAGCGGUGGUACGGUCCUUCCUCGCACGGGCGAGCCGCCGCCUGAGCCCGCCGGGGCUACCGCGACGGCGGUGCGGGGUGCCCACGCCCCACAGGAGAGGGAAAGGAGCGCGCGGGCCGAGGGCUCCAGCGGGAGUGCUCGGCGAGUGGCAGCGCGUGCUAGAAGGAGACGCGCGCGCAGGCCCGGAGAGAAAAGAAUUGCAUAUCACGGAGACGGGAGCCAGAAUAUCCAUGGAACACCUAGCUUUCCUGCUUGCGGACCCUUGAGACCUGGAGGAUGA
rnacentral:lncRNA from 1 species